GAGAGAGAGAGAGAGAGAAGGAGUUGUGGGAGGGCGUUUAGUGUAAAAUUAAGGGGCAGGUCUUGGAAAGCAGCCACAAAGUAACACAAUGUUCCGGCUGUAGCCUACUGUAGCCGUGCCGCUGCUGAUGAGAACACUGUGUUCCAAUAGACACCCUGACCUGUAACCCGUUCCGUGCCGAGCCAGGCCGGGAACAGAACAGUCUGUACCGCAGCAGGCUGUCCUCUCCACUCAGCUUACAACACAUAUCAACACUGUAAUAGCCGAGCCCUAACCACACAGACUGGAUGUGUAAGCACUUAAAUAAAAGCAUAGCCUACUGACCGAUAAACCGUGAGCUGAGACGGAUUACUGUUUCUCUAAACCCCGCGAUUUUUUUAUUUUUGUUUACCGGGGAUUUUGACGCUUAAGUAAAUUUGCCGUUACGUUUCUACAACUUAUGUGAAGGCAUCCGUGUUACGUACAUGUGAGUAAUCUCCAGAGUGAUCCCUUUUAUCCCUGAACUUUUGCCCCCUGAAGCAGGAGUUCUUUACUGCUGUGUCUGCCAUGGACCCUGAAUAAAUGAUUCCUCUCUGCUGCUGAUGAAGAAAGUACCGUGACUAAUAGGACAGACCUUUUUUGUUGUUGUUGUUCAUUUACACGUAAACUUUAAAGGACCAUGUUUUGUCAAUUUCAAAAUUCUGUGCUCAUUUUCUUUCCUUAGACAAUCAGUCAUGAUGAGUUUACUAAAUAGAUAAAGUUGUCAGUAGUGAAAAAAGUAUUCAGAUGAUAAGUUAUCCCUCUGUAUGUUUUGUUUCCCUCUGAGAUGUAGCAAAGUAGAGGCAUGAAGUGGCAGAAAAUUAGAGUAUUCAUUUGGAGAAGUCAAAAGGUUAGCAGUGAAGGUUUUUUUAAACAUUAGCAUUGACAAUAAGUAGCCUUUAUAUCUAACUGUGUUAAUUUGUCCUCUGCAUUAUUGUGGAAGUUUGGUUAUUUAGUAGCCUGUACACUGGAUUACUCUCAUGCCUGUUCUAGUCCUAGAACAAUCUUCAGGCCAAGCUCAAACUUCAGACCCUCAUCUUUUUUUUAAUGAUUUUAAACUUAGAAUAAGAGAAGUGGUCACUGCUAGUAACUGCUUCAUUUAACUAGCAAACACUUGAUCACAUAUUGCUACCUUGUUAAUGCACUGUAUUAUGUAAUGUAUUUUGUUUUUUCUUGCUGCUGUGAUCUGUUGUUGUGCUGGAUGCUGCUAUGUGACCUUGUCUAUAUCACUUGAAAAAUGGGUUUUAAUCUCAAUUUGACUUCCUAGUUAAAUAGACUUUCGGAUGUUUGGCUCCUUUUGUUUUGUCAUUUUGUCAGUUUAUACUCUGGUUCUAAAUAAACAUUAUUAUUAAG